AAACAGCUGUGUAAAUCAUGCCAUAGAAGCUCAAGGCAUGUUUCAUCUUGAUACAAAUCAAUCUUUGCUGGUAGAAAAUUGUGAUUGCAUCUCCCCAGGGCCCAAUAUUUACUGCAAUUAACAAAAAGAGUGUAACCGUUCACAUGCCCAAAUUAUAUUCAUAUGAUUAAAACAUUGUGUUUUUUACCUAAGGAAGAAAAAUACAUAUUAUCGGAGAGAGAAAAAAAUCAUACUUCACCUAGUCACAUACACAAUGAUACUCAUAAUAAGGCAGAUUUACAAGAUUUAGCCACUUUAACAAAAAUUUAAAUGGCCAGAGUUUAUAUUGUGUGGGAGCUGGUAUGAAAUGCAGGUUUCUGGUUAAUUUUCUGUUGACAAACAUCAAAAACCUGGGUUGACGAUGCUGCCCACAACGAGGAUGUUAGGACGUUGUUCCCAUUUGUCCCCAGAAAGGAAUGAUGAAGCAAGCCGGCUGAUGCGGGAGAUAUCACUGCUUGGACCAUGCAGCAAUGCCACAAUUUAGCUUUUGUUUUUUAUUGGCUUCCAGUACAGACUGCUCUAAGUGCCAACUGUAAGGCUAUCUAUGUGAGUAACGCCUCACUUA